AUUUUGCAAAAUACAUUCCACACACGCGUCGGCACAUUGAGCUGGGUGCCCUUUGGGGUCACUGAAUGGGGCGCGUGGAGGCUCAAA
rnacentral:sRNA from 18 species